rnacentral:rRNA from 1 species
AGGGGGCGGCGCCGCCGGCCGGACGUCCUCGAGGCGGACCGAGCCGGAGCGCUCGCGUCGGGACCCGAAAGGUGGUGAUCUAUCCGUGCGCGCGGCGAAGCCGGGGGAAACCCCGGUGGAGGCCCGUCGACGGUACUGACGUGCAAAUCGUUCGUCCGACGUGCGAAUAGGGGCGAAAGACCAAUCGAACCUCCUAGUAGCUGGUUUCCGCCGAAAUUUCCCUCAGGAUAGCGGCCAUCGCGGAAACGUUUUGACCGGUAGAGCGAACGACUAGAGGUACCGGGGCCGUAACGGCCUCGACCUAUUCUCGAACUCCGAACGGGCAAGGAGCCGGGGUCGCCCGAUCGGACCCCGGACGUGAAGUCGACGAUGGUCGGUGGGCUGGUUUUGGUAAGCAGAACGGGCGAUUCGGGAUGAACCGGAAGCGGGG